AUCCUAGCUGUAAACGAUGCUGACUAGGUGUGGGAGGUAUCGACCCCUCCCGUGCCGCCGCUAACGCAUUAAGUCAGCCGCCUGGGGAGUACGGCCGCAAGGUUAAAACUCAAAGGAAUUGACGGGGGCCCGCACAAGCGGUGGAGCAUGUGGUUUAAUUCGACGCUACGCGAAGAACCUUACCUGGGCUCGAACGACUGGUAGUAGUCCCGAUGAAAGUUGGGGCGACCCGCAAGGGAGCCAGCCGAGGUGCUGCAUGGCUGUCGU
rnacentral:rRNA from 1 species